AGUGUGUAGAAUCUAACUUUUGUUCAGUGUUAAUAUCAUAUAAUUUGGUUGGAAAACCAAGUAAUAGAAGGUGAUAACCCUGUAAUAUGAUAUGACUGAAUGUUGGAUUCUUGGAGUCGAGUUGUUUGGGAAUGCAACUCGAAGUGGGUGGUGAACUCCAUCUAAGGCUAAAUAUGUUCAAGAGACCGAUAGUGAACAAGUACCGUGAGGGAAAGAUGAAAAGAACUUUGAGAAAAGAGUGAAAUAGUACUUGAAAUCGUAUAGAGGUUAAGCAGAGUUGGUGGAUAUUGUAUUUGAAUGUACUAUAAUCAAUUGAUUAUGGCUUAUUCUUAUACAUAGUAUAAUUUGUGUGUGAAUUGGUUAAUAUUAAAACGAAUAUGCGCAUAAAUGAUAUAAAUCCUACAUCUCUGUCCCGUCUUGAAACACGGACCAAGGAGUCUAUCCUGUAUGCAAGUUGUAUGGUGUAAAACCAAUAAGCGUAAUGAAAGUAAGAGGUGUGAAAGUUGUAAAAGUGUCAACACCUGCCGAUCUAAAUUCUUUGAUGAAAGAUUCGAGUAUGAGCAUAUAGGGUGGGACCCGAAAGAUGGUGAACUAUGCCUGAAUAGGACGAAGCCAGGGGAAACUCUGGUGGAGGUUCGAGUGGAUUCUAACGUGCAAAUUGAUCUUUAAAUUUGGGUAUAGGGGCGAAAGACUAAUCGAACCAUCUAGUAGCUGGUUCAUUCCGAAAUUUCCCUCAGGAUAGCUGCAACUUAUGAAAUAGUUUUAUGAGGUAAAGCGAAUGAUUAGAGGUUUCUGGGAUGGAAUAUCCUGGACCUAUUCUCAAACUUUCAAUGGGUAAGAAAAGUGUGAUGUUUAAUUAAUCAUACUAUUUGAAUAUGAGUUGCAAGUGGGCCAUUCCGGGUAAGCUGGACUGGCAAUGCGGGAUCAACCGAACGCUAUGUUACGGCGCCAGAUUGUUCGCUCAGUUGGAUGUAAAAGGUGUUAGUUCAUCUAGACAGCAGGACGGUGGCCAUGGAAGUCGGAAUCCGCUAAGGAGUGUGUAACAACUCACCUGCCGAAUGAAGUAGCCCUGAAAAUGGAUGGCGCUUAAGCGAACAGCCUAUACAUAGCCAUUAUUGUUAGGAUUAUACAAUAAUGAGUAGGAAUGCGUGAUGAAUGUUGUGAAGUAUGAUGUGUGAACAUGUAUGGAACAUUCAUUAGUGCAGAUCUUGGUGGAAGUAGCAAAUAUUCAAAUGAGAUCUUUGAAGACUGAAGUGGAGAAAGGUUCCAUAGGAAUAGUGAUUAUCUAUGGGUUAGUCGAUCCUAAGAGAUAGGUGAAAUCCAUUGAAAAGUCAAUUUCGAUUGACAUUUAUCGAAAGGGAAUCAGGUUAAUAUUCCUGAACCGGCCCGGAAGUGACGGAUUGAGUAAAUUGUAAGUUCUUAUUGGAUUGAGCUUGCAGUGAAUCAGUCCCAGGAAAUAGCCCGGGCUAAGACCGUACCCGAAACCGACACAGGUGGACAGGUAGAGUAUACCAAGGCGCUUGAGAGAACUAUGCUGAAGGAACUCGGCAAAUUGCACGCGUAACUUCGGAAUAAGCGUGACUCACCCUGGGCAACCAGGACUGAGUGGCACAAGCCAGGGGGUAGCGACUGUUUAGCAAAAACAUAGGGCUCUGCGAAGCAUCAAUGCGACGUAUAGGGUCUGACGCCUGCCCGGUGCCUGAAGGUUAAAGGGAGGAGUGAAAGCUCCGAACUGAAGCCCAGGUAAACGGCGGCCGUAACUAUAACGGUCCUAAGGUAGCGAAAUUCCUUGUCGGGUAAGUUCCGACCUGCACGAAUGGCGUAACGACUUCCCCACUGUCUCCAGCACAGGCUCAGUGAAAUUGAAUUCCCCGUGAAGAUGCGGGGUUCCCGCGGUCAGACGGAAAGACCCUAUGAACCUUUACUAUAGCUUCGCCUUGGCGUUAGCGACCGUAUGUGUAGGAUAGGUGGGAGGCUAUGAAGCCGGGGCGCCAGCUCUGGUGGAGCCAUCCUUGAAAUACCACCCUUACUGUCGUUGACGUCUAACCGAGGGCCGUUAUCCGGUCCCGGGACAUGGCGUGGUGGGUAGUUUGACUGGGGCGGUCGCCUCCCAAAGAGUAACGGAGGCGCGCGAUGGUUAGCUCAGACCGGUCGGAAAUCGGUCGUCGAGUGCAAUGGCAUAAGCUAGCCUGACUGCGAGACUGACAAGUCGAGCAGAGACGAAAGUCGGCCAUAGUGAUCCGGUGGUCCCGCGUGGAAGGGCCAUCGCUCAACGGAUAAAAGGUACUCUAGGGAUAACAGGCUGAUUUUGCCCAAGAGUCCAUAUCGACGGCAAAGUUUGGCACCUCGAUGUCGGCUCAUCACAUCCUGGGGCUGGAGCAGGUCCCAAGGGUUCGGCUGUUCGCCGAUUAAAGUGGUACGUGAGCUGGGUUCAGAACGUCGUGAGACAGUUUGGUCCCUAUCUGCCGUGGGUGUUCGAAGCUUGAGAGGAUCUGUCCCUAGUACGAGAGGACCGGGAUGGACAUACCUCUGGUGGACCUGUCAUGGCGCCAGCCGUGCAGCAGGGUAGCUAAGUAUGGAAUAGAUAACCGCUGAAAGCAUCUAAGCGGGAAACUAACCUCAAAACAAGGCUUCGCUGAGGAUCGUGGAAGACUACCACGUUGAUAGGCCAGGUGUGGAAGCGCGGUGACGUGUGAAGCUUACUGGUACUAAUAAUCCGAUCGGCUUGAUCGU
rnacentral:rRNA from 1 species